GACGAACGCUGGCGGCAGGCCUAACACAUGCAAGUCGAGCGAGCGGCGGACGGGUGAGUAAUGCCUGGGAAUUGCCCAGUCGAGGGGGAUAACAGUUGGAAACGACUGCUAAUACCGCAUACGAUUGGAUUGCCCAGGUGGGACUAGCUAGUUGGUGAGGUAAUGGCUCACCAAGGCGACGAUCCCGAGCUGGUCUGAGAGGAUGAUCGUCCACAAUGGAACGGAGACACGGUCCAGACUCCUACGUGAGGCAGCAGUGGGGAAUAUUGCACAAGGGGGGAAACCCUGAUGCAGCCAUGCCGCGUGUGUGAAGAAGGCCUUCGGGUUGUAAAGCACUUGCAGCGAGGAGGCGUUACUCGCAGAAGAAGCACCGGCUAACUCCGUGCCAGCAGCCGCGGUAAUUC
rnacentral:rRNA from 1 species